rnacentral:rRNA from 1 species
GAUGAACGCUAGCGGCAGGCCUAAUACAUGCAAGUCGAACGAUAUUAUCCAGCUUGCUGGAUAUGAAAGUGGCGCACGGGUGCGUAACGCGUAUGCAACCUACCUUAUUCAGGGGGAUAGCCCGAAGAAAUUCGGAUUAACACCGCAUAAAAUCACAGUUCAGCAUUGGACAAUGAUCAAAUAUUUAUAGGAAUAAGAUGGGCAUGCGUGUCAUUAGCUAGUUGGCGGGGUAACGGCCCACCAAGGCGACGAUGACUAGGGGAUCUGAGAGGAUGGUCCCCCACACUGGUACUGAGACACGGACCAGACUCCUACGGGAGGCAGCAGUAAGGAAUAUUGGUCAAUGGAGGGAACUCUGAACCAGCCAUGCCGCGUGCAGGAAGACGGCCCUCUGGGUUGUAAGCUGCUUUUAUUCGGGAAUAAACCUAUUUACGUGUAAAUAGCUGAAUGUACCGAAGGAAUAAGGAUCGGCUAACUCCGUGCCAGCCGCCGCGGUAA